rnacentral:rRNA from 1 species
UAGCUAGUUGGUAGGGUAAAGGCCUACCAAGGCGACGAUCGGUAGCUGGUCUGAGAGGAUGGCCAGCCACACUGGGACUGAGACACGGCCCAGACUCUUACGGGAGGCAGCAGUGGGGAAUAUUGGACAAUGGGGGCAACCCUGAUCCAGCAAUGCCGCGUGUGUGAAGAAGGCCUGAGGGUUGUAAGGCACUUUCAGUGGGGAGGAGGAUUGAUUGGUUAAGAGCUGAUUGAUUGGACGUUACCUACAGAAGAAGCACCGGCUAACUCCGUGCCAGCAGCCGCGGUAAUACGGAGGGUGCGAGCGUUAAUCGGAAUUACUGGGCGUAAAGGGUGCGUAGGUGGUUAGAUAAGUUAGCUGUGAAAUCCCCGGGCUCAACCUGGGCAGGUCAGCUAAGACUGUUUGACUCGAGUAUGGGAGAGGGUAGUGGAAUUUCCGGUGUAGCGGUGAAAUGCGUAGAGAUCGGAAGGAACACCAGUGGCGAAGGCGGCUACCUGGCCUAAUACUGACACUGAGGCACGAAAGCGUGGGGAGCAAACAGGAUUAGAUACCCUGGUAGUCCACGCCGUAAACGAUGUCAACUAGUUGUUGGCCUUAUGAAUGAGGUUAGUGACGA